GCCUAGCCCCUAUGGGAGGGAAUAUCCUUUUUAUCCUUUUUCUGGAUAAAAAGAUAGGAAGGACAGCGGGACCAAAC
rnacentral:sRNA from 1 species